rnacentral:rRNA from 1 species
CGGGCCUUUCUAGGUCUGGCAAUUGGAAUGAGAACAAUUUAAAUCCCUUAUCGAGGAUCAAUUGGAGGGCAAGUCUGGUGCCAGCAGCCGCGGUAAUUCCAGCUCCAAUAGCGUAUAUUAAAGUUGUUGCAGUUAAAAAGCUCGUAGUUGGAUUUCUGGUGGGUGCGAUCGGUCUGGCGCUUAGCGCGAGUACUUGCAUCGUCUCCGGCCAUCCUUGGGGAGAGUUUGUCUGGCAUUAAGUUGUCGGGCAGAGGAUCCUCAUCGUUUACUGUGAAAAAAUUAGAGUGUUCAAAGCAGGCUUAUGCCGUUGAAUAUAUUAGCAUGGAAUAAUAAGAUAGGACUUUGGUACUAUUUUGUUGGUUUGCGCACCAAAGUAAUGAUUAAUAGGGACAGUUGGGGGUAUUCGUAUUCCGUUGUCAGAGGUGAAAUUCUUGGAUUUACGGAAGACGAACUACUGCGAAAGCAUUUACCAAGGAUGUUUUCAUUAAUCAAGAACGAAAGUUAGGGGNA